ensembl:lncRNA
UCUGCGUAGCGCGCACUACACUUUAGUUGAACUAUCCUCCGUGAAAAAAAGCUGUAGGAGCAACUGGAACCCGAACAACUGACCCAGAGAUAUGAGUGGAAUCUGCUGAGCAUGUGGGUAUUCGGUGUUCAAGCACUUCCAGCACACACACAGACACGCACACACACACACAGACACGCACACACACGCACACACACAGACACGCACACACACACAGCCUGAUCAUGGCGACAGCGGCCGACGGCUGUCCUCCGGACCGGCGGGGCUGGGUGGAGUUCGUGGAGAACGCCUCGGGACCCCGGACGGAGCCCCCAGCAGCAAGACUAACGGGCGUACACUCGCCGAGGUGUGGGGUCAAAUCCUGUUCCAGGCUCCUGUGUUGCUUCCUGCAUGUUGAACACACACACAGGCCUUCUCCAUGGGAGUGAGACGGGU